ACCCUGAACUGGUGGCCUUUCUAAAAUGAAGUUAGUCAUGUCAGGCUUAGGUCAGCCUCAUCUCUCUAGAGAGCCGGCCUGGCUCCAAGGGACCUCUGAUGUUACUGGAAAUCAAUGGUAGCAGCGUUGGCCUGUCUCCUGACUGCUGGUGAGGGACUCAAAAGCCAACGUUUGGAAGCUGGGCCGUGCACUGAGCUGCCGUAAUUCCUAAUUCCCAGUUUCACUGUGCCAGAUCAAGUGGGCGAAGGCAGGUACUCGGGAAGGGUCUCUCACUUGCAUUCUUCUCAGAUAUACCACCCAGCAAGGCAGUGCUGUGAUGAACACUGCUUCAGUGCUGUUAAUUGAGUCUAGGACUUUGUUGCCAGUGAUCAAUUCAUCAAACAAUGAUGAGAAAACUGAGACCCUGUGAAGUUGCCAGCCCACGAUCACAGAGAAAAUCACCAAUGAAGGAAUCUGACAGCCAUCUGUGGAGCAAGAAUGGGACCCCGCCAAUCUGGGAUCCUACUGGAAAGGCUGACCUUGUCUGGGUAACACCGAUGCAUGGACACUGCCCCGUCGCUGGCUGAGAUGAUCGCCCAACAGGCG